UCCCUAGCGACAUCCACCCACCCCUAAAAAAUUUUCCAUCGUUCUCACUCUCUGAUUUUGAGAAGAACACCAGUGGUGCAGAUACAGUAGAGGAAAAAGGGACGAGUGAACAGGGACAAAAGAUUUCUUCAAGGAAAAAAACCCACGAGAGAAACAGCUCCCCUCAGAUUUUGGAAAUCUUCAUUCUCUAAAAUUAAAAAAGAGAGAUACACACACACUCAUGUCGACACUCAGAAGAAGUGGUUACGAAACGGCUCAGACCAUUGCACGCUUUUCUCUCUGAGACUCAGUUCCUGUUAACUGAAAUCAAUCAAAAUACACAGCAACAUUUUGCUAACAAUGCUUCAAUUUUGUACAUAGACAUUGUUCUGAUCUACACCGACAAGAUAAUAUCCAAACCUACGCCCAUGGUUCACUGGAUCUCUUCGAAGCUCAAAGUCACCAAAAAUCUACUUCAACAGUUUCCAAAUGUCUACAUUGGGGGAAAGCACAUUGGUGGUUGUGACGUGAUUUCGGCUACAACGAGAUAGGGAAUUAAGAUUGAGGUCGUUUUGGUUUCAAGUUUUCCGGUGUCGAUUUGAGGUUCCAGUUUGUAAUUUUGGUGUUUCAGUCCAAGGAUUGUUGCUUUGCUUAGCCCGAUUGAUUCGCAAUUUUCAUCUUUGUUCAUCAAUAAAAGGUUAAUUUCUCAAUUUUCAUUCUUAUUUCAUUGUGUUAUGAUAGUUUGGUGCGCGUAUUGGUUAAUUUGUUAUUCUACGUUGUUUGAGUAGUAUGUCUUAGUUUUCAUUUAAAUUGUUUUAAUUAGUUUUUAUUUCGAUUGCGAUGCAUGUAAUCUUGGUUCUUGAAUAAAUGCUUUUAAUUGGGUAGAUGGAAAAAUUGGAGUUGUUUCUUUCUUGGCAAGGAAUAUAAAUGGGCCAUAAGGUGGGUCUUGAACCACAAAGAAUCUGGCCGAAUGAUAGAUCAUGUUAGCUGGCCUAUUUGCUCCUCAAUAAUAUCUUGUCCAUAAAUUUGGCAUCACAACAAUCUCAAAAGAUUAGGAAAAUAAUUCAUAUACGCUAGUUGCUUUAAGCGCGAAUAAUAAAUUAUUGUGGUCAUGGGUAUGAUUCCCCUGGUAUGGUCAUGAUACAUAAAUUCAAAUUCGGGUGUGCAUUUCAUGUGACUCGACCACAACUUCUAAUAAUAUUAAUAAUUUAAACAUGUUGUGGAUCGUGGGUACGACUCCCGUGACACGAUUCGCAAUAUGUAUCAAACAAACAAGUGUACGACAAUCGUAACUUAUUCAAGAAAUAAUUCAAUAAAUCCUAAAAGCGGAUAAAUAAAAAAGCGGUUAUAAAGUUAAAAUACACAAUAGGUUUAAAACAUGUAAUUAAUCAUAUAAUUAGGCUAAUUAAUAAUAGUUGAGCGACCAUGCUAAAAACUCGGGAAUGCCUAACACCUUCUCUUGGGUUAAUAGAAUUCCUUAUCCGAGUUUCUAUGUUCGCAGACCAUAAAUAAGAGUUAACUAUCCUCGAUUCGGGAUUCUAAACCGGUGACUUGGGACACCAUAAAUUAUCCCAAGUGGCGACUCUGAAUUUGAUAUAAAUAAUCCCGUUUCGUAUAUUGUCACUUUAAUUGGAAAAACUCCCCUAUACUCGUUUCCGGGGUAGAAAAAGGAGGUGUGACAGGUCUACCAUGCUUCAUACAUACAGUAAACUCUAUCCUUCAGGGACUUUAAUUUUAAUAGGAGCAUUUGCAGCUGAAAUAUGAUAUUAAAUUUUGGAUCAACAAAUACUUUUGGCAUUUGACUUGAAUUAUUUUCUAAGUGAGGAUCAUAUUAAUGAUAAUUCGAUUCAUAUAGCAUAUUUUUCAGUUAUUUAUUCCAUCCCCCAAAUGUUAGAAAAAUUAACAUAUAUCCCCAAUCUUCUUUGGGAAUCAUAUCUUUGUGUAUUGUGGUAGAGAAAUUAAUCAUAUACCACUCACCAAAAGAUAGUAAAAAUAUUUGAUUUCUGAUCCUAAACCAAUUGUAAGGGGAGGACUUUAUCAUAUAUCGUUGGUCUGAUGCAUACAAGUGUUGCUAUAUACAAUUUUGAAUAUCUUAGACCAACACAUGAAGCUUUAUUCUCAUAAGCAAUAGUUUAGCCAUUAGUAGGAGGUAUUCAAUGCUAAACCAGCUUGGAUAUAAACCAAUAUUAUUAAGAUGAACUGUCUUUAUUUCAUAAUCUGAAAGUUAUGCUCUUAAUUGAGAAAAGCAAUCUCAAAUGUCAAACUGCAGGUUGACAAUAAACUUACAUGUAACCAUCUUAUAUAUGCAUCUAUAAGUGGUUCACAUGAUAGGUGAAUGAGCCCAUAUUCACCUUUUAUAUAUUUCAGAAUCAGGGGUCUUAGUCCCAACUUUAGUUGGUAUAAUCAAUUAAUUAUGAGAACAAGAAACACAGGAGAAUUCUUGAAGAAUUUUCUAGUUCUUCAAUAUAUGCUUAUCUGAAUUCUUAAAUAGCUCAUUCAAAAAUGGCAAAUGAAAACUUCAAGUUUAUCAUGGCAUGUGCUAUCUCAGUAAACUUCUGGUUUACUAUGGCAUAAACUUUUGCAUUAGUAAGCUUCUAGUUUACCGUGACUGCUUUUGCAUUAGUAAACUUCUGAUUUACUGUGAUACAUAAUACAAUAUAAAUAAGGCGGGUAAUUACUCACAUACAUAUUAUUUUACCCCUAUGAUUGUGAAAACAUAGAGAUUUCCAGUCUUCCAAUCAUUUGUAGUCUCAAUAUGAUAGUCAUUUGUAUUAAUAAAAUUCGGGUUUAAUACAACAUAUGUUUUGACCAUAAUCAUAUAAUAUGAAUGACAUAUUUAUAUAUAAGAUCAUCGAGAGCCUUCAUUUAUUAUCCACAAUCUAAUAUUUAUCGGACACUACUGUUAUCAUGUGUCUUCUAGGCAAACAGUUAGCUCUUCAGGAGUUGUUGAUACAUUUUGUACUAUCAAAUAUUGCUCAUACACUUCUGGUAUCAUGAGAUAAAAGCACAAUCAAAUAAACAAUGUAAAACAAUUGUUUAAGCACAAGAAAACUCUUCUUCAUAAUACUUUCCUACUUCAGGAGGCAAUUUCAAUUGUGGUACUUCUUCAGGAGCAAAUUUAAAAUACGAAAUAUUGAGUAUAUAUUCUCUCAAUUAUAUUACCUCUUCUAGAGGUGAAUUGUAAUAUAUUCACAUCAAGAUCGCGUUCAUAUUUACUAGAUUUAUUAAUAUUGUAACAUUCACUUCAGGGAAUGGAUUAAUAUUAUCAAAAGUUCUCAUCCUUCAGAAAAUCGAACAUAAUUAUCUGAAAGCGCAUUAAUCACAUGAAAUUGUGAUGCCUCAACCUCUUUUAAAAUAUUUUCUAUUUCAGGAGCAAAUCGAGGCGUGUAUUUAAUAUAGAGAAUAUUUAUGUAGCUUAUCUUCAAUUGUAACCAUAGAAAGACUAAAUUAUCACUUCUGGUGAUCAUAGGCAUAUACCACUUCUGGUGGUUAACAAAAUAUAAUUACAAUGAGAUAUACGAAAUAUAACUACUUCUGGUGGUUGUAUAUUUCUUGCAAACUCUGCUAAAGUUUAAGUUGAUCUAAUAAUAUUAUACGUAUUCUUCAAAAUGACAUAAAUAAGAUAUAUUAUAGUAAACAUCAUUAUCAAAUCAUAAUUUUUCUUUAUAUACAACAAUUACAUAAUCAUACUAUCUAUUACAAACAACAAAAAUUAAAAUAUUUACAUUUUUACAGAUUCACCACCGAUUAAUGACUUGUUUCUCCUUCUGGGAGUGCAAGGUAAUCAGCUACAUCCAAAUGUAUGAAGUCUAAAUUAUCUUCAGAAAUAACAUUUGCUUGAGCAUUUUCCUCCGUCUUCUUCAGGAAGGCUUGAUAAAGCUCAACCAGGUGCUUUGGCGUACGGCAGGUACGUGACCAGUGC
rnacentral:lncRNA from 1 species